AGUGAACGCUGGCGGUAGGCCUAACACAUGCAAGUCGAACGGCAGCACAGUAAGAGCUUGCUCUUACGGGUGGCGAGUGGCGGACGGGUGAGGAAUACAUCGGAAUCUACUUUUUCGUGGGGGAUGACGUAGGGAAACUUACGCUAAUACCGCAUACGACCUACGGGUGAAAGCAGGGGAUCUUCGGACCUUGCGCGAUUGAAUGAGCCGAUGUCGGAUUAGCUAGUUGGCGGGGUAAAGGCCCACCAAGGCGACGAUCCGUAGCUGGUCUGAGAGGAUGAUCAGCCACACUGGAACUGAGACACGGUCCAGACUCCGACGGGAGGCAGCGGUGGGGAAUAUUGGACAAUGGGCGCAAGCCUGAUCCAGCCAUACCGCGUGGGUGAAGAAGGCCUUCGGGUUGUAAAGCCCUCUUGUUGGGAAAGAAAAGCAGCAGGUUAAUACCCCGCUGUUCUGACGGUACCCGAAGAAUAAGCACCGGCUAACUUCGUG
rnacentral:rRNA from 1 species